rnacentral:rRNA from 1 species
GACGAACGCUGGCGGCGCGCCUAAUACAUGCAAGUCGAACGGGCACCUUCGGGUGUCAGUGGCGGACGGGUGAGUAACACGUGGGUGAUUUGCCUUCUGGUGGGGAAUAACUCUGGGAAACCAGAGCUAAUACCGCAUGAGCUUAGCCAUUCAGUUGAUUAAGUAAAGAUAUAUUGCCAGAAGAGAAGCCUGCGGCGGAUUAGCUAGUCGGUGGGGUAAUGGCCUACCGAGGCAACGAUCCGUAGCUGGUCUGAGAGGACGACCAGCCACACUGGGACUGAGACACGGCCCAGACUCCUACGGGAGGCAGCAGUAAGGAAUAUUCCACAAUGGGCGCAAGCCUGAUGGAGCGACGCCGCGUGAGCGAAGAAGCCCUUCGGGUGUGAAGCUCUUUUCCCAGGGAUGAAACGGACAGUACCUGGGAAUAAGCCCCGGCUAACUACGUGCCAGCAGCCGCCGUAAC